UAGCUUGCUAAUAAUUCUCUAGUGGCGCACGGGUGAGUAACACGUGAGUAACCUGCCCCCAAGAGUGGGAUAGCCCCGGGAAACUGGGAUUAAUACCGCAUAAAAUCGCAAGAUUAAGGCAGCAAUGCGCUUGGGGAUGGGCUCGCGUCCUAUUAGUUAGUUGGUGAGGUAACGGCUCACCAAGGCGAUGACGGGUAGCCGGUCUGAGAGGAUGUCCGGCCACACUGGAACUGAGACACGGUCCAGACACCUACGGGUGGCAGCAGUCGAGAAUCAUUCACAAUGGGGGAAACCCUGAUGGUGCGACGCCGCGUGGGGGAAUGAAGGUCUUCGGAUUGUAAACCCCUGUCAUGUGGGAGCAAAUUAAAAAGAUAGUACCACAAGAGGAAGAGACGGCUAACUCUGUGCCAGCAGCCGCGGUAAUACAGAGGUCUCAAGCGUUGUUCGGAAUCACUGGGCGUAAAGCGUGCGUAGGCGGUUUCGUAAGUCGUGUGUGAAAGGCGGGGGCUCAACCCCCGGACUGCACAUGAUACUGCGAGACUAGAGUAAUGGAGGGGGAACCGGAAUUCUCGGUGUAGCAGUGAAAUGCGUAGAUAUCGAGAGGAACACUCGUGGCGAAGGCGGGUUCCUGGACAUUAACUGACGCU
rnacentral:rRNA from 1 species